CCUACGGGCGGCAGCAGUGAGGAAUAUUGGUCAAUGGACGAGAGUCUGAACCAGCCAAGUAGCGUGAAGGAUGACUGCCCUAUGGGUUGUAAACUUCUUUUAUAUGGGAAUAAAACGUUCCACGUGUGGGAUUUUGUAUGUACCAUAUGAAUAAGGAUCGGCUAACUCCGUGCCAGCAGCCGCGGUAAUACGGAGGAUCCGAGCGUUAUCCGGAUUUAUUGGGUUUAAAGGGAGCGUAGGUGGAUUGUUAAGUCAGUUGUGAAAGUUUGCGGCUCAACCGUAAAAUUGCAGUUGAAACUGGCAGUCUUGAGUACAGUAGAGGUGGGCGGAAUUCGUGGUGUAGCGGUGAAAUGCUUAGAUAUCACGAAGAACUCCGAUGGCGAAGGCAGUUCACUGGACUGCAACUGACACUGAGGCUCGAAAGUGUGGGUAUCAAACAGGAUUAGAUACCCCGAGUAGUC
rnacentral:rRNA from 1 species